AAAACACUCACAUCAAGGAAUAGCUGGUUCAAAUACAAGAUACUGUAACAUCGUGAAUACUAGUUCAUAACCAUAACAAACACGAGCAGUCUCAUCCAAACAUGAUGUUAUAGCAUUAGGUACAUGUUAGAAUGGAAGUUUCACACACACACCCGUUUUUCGUGUUGGGGCCGACUAUGGUUACAUAUAUUGGUUGGCAUCCCAUUUGCUAGAAAUAUGUGCCUUCUGGCGGCUGAACAAGUUUUCGGUUAUGCGAUAUAGCCAUCUCCUUCCUCAGCUGGGUAAGUAUGUCCUCCAUAGUGUAUUCGCGCUGCCAAUUUGACAGCAUAUUGAACUUCUUUGGUUCGACCACUCCAGUUUCGUGGUUUACACAAGUCAUAUUGAUCCGUGAGUGGAAGCGAACACUCGGAGGCUUCUCGGGGUAAUCUUUGUCGCAGAAGAGCUUCAGCUGAUAUAUCCGGCCCUCGUGCACAGAAUUGUGUGGACCGAUGAUGGUUCCCAUCCAAGAACGCAUGAGAACAUCAUCUCCA
rnacentral:misc_RNA from 1 species